GACCGCUUGGUGGCCUAGUGGUUUAGCGUCCGCCUCAGAUGUGGGAGGUAUCCGGUUCGAUCCCUGGCUAAGUCA